rnacentral:rRNA from 1 species
GACGUAGGAGGCGAGCGUUGUCCGGAUUCAUUGGGCGUAAAGAGCACGCAGGCGGUUUGGCAAGUCGGACGUGAAAAUCCGGGGCUCAACCCCGGACCUGCAUCCGAAACUGCCCGACUAGAGGUAGGUAGGGGAGAUCGGAAUUCCUGGUGUAGCGGUGAAAUGCGCAGAUAUCAGGAGGAACACCGGUGGCGAAGGCGGUUCUCUGGGCGAUGUCCUGACGCUGAGGAGCGAAAGUGUGGGGAGCGAACAGG